UUUUGAGUUAUGAGUCCAAAAUGCAAAAUCUUAAGUAAUAUUUAGUCAAGAUGACUUGAUUGUUUAAGUAAAGACAACAUUAGGGUUUAUUGUGCAGGGUGUGUGCUGCUUCUGUAAAACUCUGAGCUUUACUACGUGAGCUAUAGGGAAUUCUGUUGCUAUGGUUACCAUGAUGUAAUUUACAAACAUUGCAUGUUUUGAUUCUAGCAUAGACCUUUGAUAUUAUUAACAUCUUUUCUUAUUUUUAAGCAUUUUAAUCCAUCUUUCAGGGCUUUCAAAUACAUCUAUUGUCACUGUUACGGUCCACAACAAAGACAAACUGGCCUCCGGGCAUCGUGUGCCAGCUUUUUACUGAACAUUACUGUAAUGUUUGUUUAUAUAAAACAUGGGGAUAACGAGCAGUUUUUGGUCAACACCAAUUGCUCCAUCAUUUGCCUGCUGCAAUAUGUGAGAUCCAAGCUAAAACUCACUGAUACAGAUUUAGUGGAUCUUUGCGAUGAAAGGGGAGCACUGCUCUCCCUGUCUGGACACCGCCAGGGUUAUGCGAGUCAAAUAUUAACCCCUCGCAAAACAUAUAUAAUAUGCACCAUCAACCGUAGUUCUGAAGGAGCAUACGUCUCCAUCACCCCACAUGUGGCAAAUCUGGACUCGGUACUACAGGGAGUGCUACAGAGUGGGGUAGUCAGUCUUGAGCAGACUCGUCGUAAGAACCUGCAUGCUUUGGGGGGCCGUAAAACGGCAGUACAGACUCCGGCUCAGAAACAGCCUGUCAGACUUCAUAAUCCAGCAAGCAAAUGAGUAAGAUGACAUAUGAACUUGAGUUCCAGCCUCAGUAUUUGGUUCUGAAACUUAAGGGAUGACGAUGAACAGCAUCUUCAGAAUGUGAGAAGAAUGCAUUGUACAUAUCAUGGAGGAAUUACAGUUCACAAUAUAUUGUAAAAGAGUUUGGUGUCACUCCAUCUAUGCAAGAUGGAGUGAUCUACAUGGAGGUUAAGCCAAAACUUAAUAUAAAGUUCAGUCCAGUUCAGUAGUACAACCCCAAUUCUGAAAAGGUUGGGACAGUAUAGAAAAUGCUAAUAAAAACAAAGAGGAGUGAUUUUUAAAUGUAUUUUGACUUGUAUUUAAACCAAAAAUGUAUAAAGAAAAAGUAUUUGAUGUAUUACAUAGUCAACUGCAUAGUUUUUUGAAGAUAAACAUUUAUUUUGAAAUUGAUGCAUGCAACAUGUUCCAACAAAGUUGGGACAGGGGCAAUUUAGGACUACUAGCGAUGUGACAAGUUGAAAUAAGAAGGUGAUGUGAAACAGGUGAGGCGAUCGUCUAAUCAUAGUAUAUAAGGAGCCUCCAAAAAAGGCCUAGUCCUUCAAGAGCAAGGAUGGGUUGAGGCUCGCCAAUCUGCCAACAGAUGCGUCAGCGAAUAAUCCAACACUUUGAGAACAACAUUCCCCAAACACAAAUCGGUAGGAUUUUAGGCAUUUCACCUUCUGCAGUGCACAAUACAGUUAAAAGAUUCAAGGAAUCAAAUCUCAGUGCAUAAAGGGCAAGGCUGAAAACCACUUCUGAAUGCGUGUGAUCUCUGAUCCCUCAGACAUCACUGUCUUAAAAACCGUCAUGAGUCUGUAAUGAUAUCCUGACAUGGGCUCGGGAAUACUUUGGCAAACCUUUGUCAGUCAACACCACUCACCACUGCAUCCACAGAUUCAAGUUAAGGCUUUACUAUGCAAAGCAGAAGCCAUACAUCAACACUGUCCAGAAGCACCGCCAACUUCUUCUCAGUGGAAUCGUGUUUUGUGGUCUGAUGAGUCAACAUUUCAAAUAGUUCUUGGACAAAACAGCCGUCGUGUUCUCCGGGCCAAAGAGGAAAAGGACCGUCCAAGCUGUUAUCAGCAUCAGGUCCAAUAGCCAGCAUCCGUCAUGGUAUGGGGUGUGUCAGUGUUCAUGGCAUGGGUAACUUGCAUAUUUGUAAGGACAUAAUUAAUGCAGAAAGAUAUGUACACAUUUUGGAUCAACAUAUGCUGCCAUCUAGAGCAGGACAACGCCAAACCACAUUCUGCCACUUAGAAGCGCAUGCUUAUGGAAGCAGAGAGUGCGGGUGCUAGCAUGGCCUGCCUACAGUCCUGACCUGUUUCCGAUUGAGAAUGUGUGGCGCAUUAUGAAGUGCAAAAUAAGGCAACAAAGCCCCCAUACAGUUGUGCAGCUGACGAAAUGCAUAAUGGAUGAAUGGGGAAAAUUCCGCUUGCGAAACUUAACCGACUUGGUCUUUAGCACCCAAACACUUAAUAAGUGUUAUUAAGAGAAAAGGUGUUGUUACACAGUGGCAAACAGUCGACUGUCCCAACUUUUUUGGAGUGUGUUGCAGUUAUCAGAUU